rnacentral:lncRNA from 1 species
AUGGCGGAAAAGGAGAGUGAGGCUGGGAGAAGUGAACGGGGUCUGUCCCUCAUGAGACGGAGGAAUGGGUGCCAGGCCAAGAACUGGGUUAGAUCUUUCUUCUGUGGUCCUGCACACCCUCCUCUCUCCGCGUCACAGAAUCCUCAGAACUGGAGCAGCAACUCCAAGUUUGCACGCUCACCCCGCGCAGAGCGCCAGACGGGGUGGUGUCCGGCGGGGACCACCAGCUGCGGGACACCGCGGAGGUCAAGCCCACGCACCCACCGGGCGCUCAGGAGUCUGGCCACAGCGGCGGGGAGCUACAGGACCCCCAAACCUAGGACCUUGUAGGCUCCUGAAGAGCAAACCGUGGCGAUGUCACCUCUGGGCAAAGGACUCUGAAUCCUGCUGACUGGUACCUCCGUCCUCCUCCUUCACAUCCCCAGGAGACUAGAGGAAGGCAACAGAGAAUGAGCAGAAAUCACGUGUCAGGCUCCAACUGGAUGAAUUACCCCUAUAGGGGCCUGGAGCGGGGGGCUCAGUAAGAAAUAGGCCACCCUUGGCCCUAGGAGAAGAAGGAGCAGCAGGCCAGAAGAAAGGGCUACUGGUGCUAGGUUGGCAGGUUGUGACCAAUGCAGUAGGGGGCUUGGGAUGGCCACCCAUGGUCUAGAACCCUACGGGUGUUCUUGAUUUUCUGCUGAUAAAGUGUUUUCUAAUUGUUUUGGAUGCAAUAUUCUUGAAUCCUUGACCAGAAAGCUCCUGGAGGCCAGGUCUUUCUGUUGGGGUAUCCACCCCACACCACCAACCAGCAGAAGCCACACUUGGAGCAAACACUGGAGGUGCUUAUUGACCCAGCAGAGCUGUGUUUUGUGCCCUGAAUGUGUCUCCCCACGAGCUUCAUAUGUUGAGAUCCUAAGACCCAGAGUGAUGGUAUUAGAGGCUGGGCCUUGGGGACAUGAUUAGGUCAGGAGCCUCAUGAAUGGAUUAGACACCCCCCCCCCCCCC